UACGUAGGGACCAAGCGUUGUUCGGAUUUACUGGGCGUAAAGCGUGCGCAGGCGGUUAUGCAAGACAGAGGUGAAAUCCCCGGGCUCAACCUGGGAACUGCCUUUGUGACUGCAUAGCUAGAGUACGGUAGAGGGGGAUGGAAUUCCGCGUGUAGCAGUGAAAUGCGUAGAUAUGCGGAGGAACACCGAUGGCGAAGGCAGCCCCCUGGGUCAAAACUGACGCUCAUGCACGAAAGCGUGGGGAGCAAACAGG
rnacentral:rRNA from 1 species